rnacentral:rRNA from 1 species
GUGGGGAAUAUUGGACAAUGGGCGAAAGCCUGAUCCAGCAAUGCCGCGUGAGUGAUGAAGGCCUUAGGGUUGUAAAGCUCUUUUACCCGGGAUGAUAAUGACAGUACCGGGAGAAUAAGCUCCGGCUAACUCCGUGCCAGCAGCCGCGGUAAUACGGAGGGAGCUAGCGUUGUUCGGAAUUACUGGGCGUAAAGCGCACGUAGGCGGCUUUGUAAGUUAGAGGUGAAAGCAUGGAGCUUAACUCCAGAACUGCCUUUAAGACUGCAUCGAUUGAAGCCAGGAGAGGUGAGUGGAAUUCCGAGUGUAGAGGUGAAAUUCGUAGAUAUUCGGAAGAACACCAGUGGCGAAGGCGGCUCACUGGACUGGUAUUGACGCUGAGGUGCGAAAGCGUGGGGAGCAAACAGGAUUAGAUACCCCUGUAGUCC